AUUGAACGCUGGCGGCAUGCUUUACACAUGCAAGUCGAACGGCAGCACGGGUGCUUGCACCUGGUGGCGAGUGGCGAACGGGUGAGUAAUGCAUCGGAACGUGCCCAUGAGUGGGGGAUAGCCCGGCGAAAGCCGGAUUAAUACCGCAUACGCCCUUAGGGGGAAAGCGGGGGAUCUUCGGACCUCGCGCUAUUGGAGCGGCCGAUGUCGGAUUAGCUAGUAGGUGAGGUAAAGGCUCACCUAGGCGACGAUCCGUAGCUGGUCUGAGAGGAUGAUCAGCCACACUGGGACUGAGACACGGCCCAGACUCCUACGGGAGGCAGCAGUGGGGAAUUUUGGACAAUGGGCGCAAGCCUGAUCCAGCCAUGCCGCGUGAGUGAAGAAGGCCUCGGUGU
rnacentral:rRNA from 1 species